GAGAUGACUCCCGGCAACGGAUAUCUCGGCUCUCGCAUCGAUGAAGAACGUAGCGAAAUGCGAUACGUGGUGUGAAUUGCAGAAUCCCGUGAACCAUCGAGUCUUUGAACGCAAGUUGCGCCCGAGGGAUCAUCCUGAGGGCACGCCUGCCUCAUGGGCGUAAGAA
rnacentral:rRNA from 11 species